rnacentral:rRNA from 1 species
AUUAAAUAAGAACCGGAACUGUCUGGAAAGGCAGGCCAUAGUGGGUGAUAGCCCCGUACGGGUAGAAAUUUUAAUNGUCCUNGAGUANGGCGGGACACGUGAAAUCCUGUNUGAACNUGGGGGGACCACCCUCCAAGCCUAAGUACUCCUNAGUGACCGAUAGUGAACNAGUACCGUGAGGGAAAGGUGAAAAGNACCCCGANNAGGGGAGUGAAANAGAUCCUGAAACCGNNUGCNUACAAGCAGUNGGAGCCNCUUUANGGNGUGACNGCGUACCUNUUGNAUAAUGGGNCAGCGANUUAAUUUAUGCGAGCAAGCUUAANCCGUUAGGUGUAGGCGNAGCGAAAGCGAGUCUNAANAGGGCGNUCAGUUCGNAUGUAUUAGACCCGAAACCNNGUGAUCUAGCCAUGGGCAGGUUGAAGGUGCGGUAACACGCACUGGAGGACCGAACCCACCUAUGUUGAAAAAUGGGGGGAUGACCUGUGGCUAGGGGUGAAAGGCCAAUCAAACUCGGAUAUAGCUGGUUCUCCGCGAAAUCUAUUUAGGUAGAGCGUUGUGUAUUACCGCCGGGGGUAGAGCACUGGAUGGGCUAGGGGGGCGCGAGCCUUACCAAACCUAACCAAACUCCGAAUACCGGUGAGUAGAGCGCAGCAGACAGACCAUGGGUGCUAAGGUCCAUGGUCGAAAGGGAAACAGCCCAGACCUCCAGCUAAGGUCCCCAAGUUAUGACUAAGUGGGAAAGGAUGUGGGAAGGCCAAGACAACCAGGAGGUUGGCUUAGAAGCAGCCAUCCUUUAAAGAAAGCGUAACAGCUCACUGGUCUAAAUAUUAAGCCGUCCUGCGCCGAAGAUGUACCGGGGCUAAAGUCAUACACCGAAGCUGAGGACUCCAGUUUACUGGAGUGGUAGCGGAGCGUUCCGUAAGCCUGCGAAGGUGCACUGUGAGGUGUGCUGGAGGUAUCGGAAGUGAGAAUGCUGGCAUGAGUAGCGACAAAGAGUGUGAGAAACACUCUCGCCGAAAGUCCAAGGGUUCCUGCGCAAGGCUAAUCCGCGCAGGGUGAGCCGGCCCCUAAGCCGAGGCCGAAAGGCGUAGGCGAUGGGAACCAGGUUAAUAUUCCUGGGCCUGCUGGAUGUGACGAAGGCCGAAAGUUGUUCUUCCUUAUUGGAUUGGGAGGGCAGCCUGGGACUUCCAGGAAAUAGCACCAGCUUUAGACCGUACCCUAAACCGACACAGGUGGACAGGUAGAGUAUACCAAGGCGCUUGAGAGAACGGUGUUGAAGGAACUAGGCAAAAUACCCCCGUAACUUCGGGAGAAGGGGGACCUCCACUUGGGCAACCAGUUGGGGGUGGCACAGACCAGGGGGUGGCGACUGUUUACUAAAAACAUAGGUCUCUGCGAAGUCGCAAGACGACGUAUAGGGACUGACGCCUGCCCGGUGCCGGAAGGUUAAGGAGAGGGGUGCAAGCUCUGAACCGAAGCCCCGGUAAACGGCGGCCGUAACUAUAACGGUCCUAAGGUAGCGAAAUUCCUUGUCGGGUAAGUUCCGACCUGCA